rnacentral:lncRNA from 1 species
CACACAGGAGGCUCAGUCUGGCCCUGGGAACCGGAGACAGUAAAUACCAAGGACGGAGGCCGGGAGUUCAGGCAGACGGGCGGCUGGAGGGGAAGCGGAGGCCGAGCUGCGGAGGCUCUUGCCAAGCGCUCUUCUCUGGGGCUCUCUCGCACCCAGAACAGGCCGGCCGGGGCCGCACAAGUAGGAGAGGCUACAGAGGGGGCUCAGACAGGCAAUGACCAUCGGCUCACGGGAGGACAGACGAGGACGCCGUCCUCAAACCAAGCCCUGCCAGGGGCCACCCGCGGGCUUCCCCCGCUCAGCGCCCACAGAGGGCAGCGAGAGCGUCUACAGGGCCGGAAGGCAGCACAGGUCAGGCAAUGGCUCGCCGCACCCAGGAGGCUCCGGGUGUGUCGUGUCCAGGCAGGAGCUCCCCUCCCCCCAGGAGAAGCCUUCGCCGUCCUGCUCGCCUGUGCCUUGGAUCGAGCCCUCGGUGAACUCCAGCGUUUGUCCCGGGGGGCUGGCCGGAGCUCGAGCGCCCGUCCAUGGGCUUCUGCCUCUCACGAUCCCUGGCUCCGCCCACAGGCCCCCUCUGCGAACCUCCUUGACCCCCCCAACCACCUCAUGAGUGGUGCUCAGUGGAGCGCCCAGCUCGAGGCCCCCCAAACCUGGGCACUUGGAGGCAGGGACCGUGGCGGCCAUUCUGGGGUGCGCCAGGACCGAGCGUUGGGGGUUGUUGGGGGAAUCACAGACACAUCUGACGAAGCUCAAAGGCACAAACAAAGGAAGCCGGGAUGGAUGACCCCAAAGGCUUCACGCCUCGGUGCCUGCCCUGCUCUGCCAGUGGGGAGAGACGGGGCCGCCGCCCCAGAAGCCCCGACAUCCAUCAAGUCACAGACGCAGACCGAACCGUACAGGGAGGGAGCCAAGGGCAGGAUCUCUGCUUCCAGAGGUCUGGGGAGCUCCCGGACUAAGAAAGUCCCUCUGCCACUCCCUGUACUUCCUUCCUUCUUUAUCUUUAACAACUUCCAGCAUUAG